ACGACCAACGUCAUUGCUCAUAAGGUUAGCUACCUGACCCGCAGCGGUACCACUCGCUGCAGCUUGAUUGAGGCGCAGAACCUGAAGAACGAAAUAAAAAAGAAUCCUGAAAAUUCUUUCGUCACGGUAUCGCAGAUGAGGACAACAUGUCAGGAUCGUACGGGAUCGGCCUCACAUCCAGGAAAAGAAAAGAAAUCACUUCUGCAGAGCUACAGGAUAAAAAUCCGUUCCCUAAUACAGCUGCUCCAAAUCAAGGGUUCAGUUUGAAUUUGAUACAAGUAUGCAAAUUGACUGGAAUUUCCGGCUCAGUCGUUGGCGAAUCAGAUUUCUGCGACUACUUAUCUCGCGGUAUACGUCAUUCAUUGUAGGGUUAAUGACGUUGAUCGAACGUAUGAGGAAAAACUUUAAUAUUGAGAAAUAACAGAGAAAAUAAUAAGAAUUAGAAAUCGUUGGUUAGUUAUUAAGAAAUUGCGGAUCUAGUACGAGGUUUUACCUCCUACGUAACGUUGAAAUAAAAGAAGUAGAAUCUCCGUUACAACUUUUUUAUUGUAUAUGUUGCAGUGAUUUCUGGGAAGCUAGUUUUUCCUUUUGUUCUUCCGCGUUUUCACUCAAUAUGGACGUUAAAUAAAUUAUUAAUAAAAUAA